UACGUAGGGUGCGAGCGUUGUCCGGAAUUAUUGGGCGUAAAGGGCGCGUAGGCGGCGCCACAAGUCACCUGUGAAAACUCUGGGCUCAACCCAGAGCCUGCAGGCGAAACUGUGGUGCUGGAGUAUGGGAGAGGUGCGUGGAAUUCCCGGUGUAGCGGUGAAAUGCGCAGAUAUCGGGAGGAACACCGGUGGCGAAGGCGGUUCUCUGGGCCUUACCUGACGCUGAGGAGCGAAAGCGUGGGGAGCGAACAGG
rnacentral:rRNA from 1 species